rnacentral:rRNA from 2 species
GGUUAAGCGACUAAGCGUACACGGUGGAUGCCCUGGCAGUCAGAGGCGAUGAAGGACGUGCUAAUCUGCGAAAAGCGUCGGUAAGGUGAUAUGAACCGUUACAGCCGGCGAUGUCCGAAUGGGGAAACCCAGUGCAAUUCGUUGCACUAUCGUUAACUGAAUACAUAGGUUAACGAGGCGAACCGGGGGAACUGAAACAUCUAAGUACCCCGAGGAAAAGA